CAGGGUACUCGAGUGGCGAACGGGUGAGUAACACGUGGGUGAUCUGCCCUGCACUUCGGGAUAAGCCUGGGAAACUGGGUCUAAUACCGGAUAGGAACCGUCUUUAGUGUGGUGGUUGGAAAGUUUUUUCGGUGCAAGAUGGGCUCGCGGCCUAUCAGCUUGUUGGUGGGGUAAUGGCCUACCAAGGCGUCGACGGGUAGCCGGCCUGAGAGGGUGUACGGCCACAUUGGGACUGAGAUACGGCCCAG
rnacentral:rRNA from 1 species